rnacentral:rRNA from 1 species
AGAGUUUGAUCAUGGCUCAGGAUGAACGCUGGCGGCGUGCCUAACACAUGCAAGUCGAGCGAUCUUCUUCGGAAGAGAGCGGCGGACGGGUGAGUAACGCGUGGGUAACCUGCCCUGUACACACGGAUAACAUACCGAAAGGUAUGCUAAUACGAGAUAAUAUGCUUUUAUCGCAUGGUAGAAGUAUCAAAGCUCCGGCGGUACAGGAUGGACCCGCGUCUGAUUAGCUAGUUGGUAAGGUAACGGCUUACCAAGGCGACGAUCAGUAGCCGACCUGAGAGGGUGAUCGGCCACAUUGGAACUGAGACACGGUCCAAACUCCUACGGGAGGCAGCAGUGGGGAAUAUUGCACAAUGGGCGAAAGCCUGAUGCAGCAACGCCGCGUGAGCGAUGAAGGCCUUCGGGUCGUAAAGCUCUGUCCUCAAGGAAGAUAAUGACGGUACUUGAGGAGGAAGCCCCGGCUAACUACGUG